rnacentral:rRNA from 1 species
CAGCAGCCCGAGUGGUGGUCGUUUUUAUUGGGCCUAAAGCGUCCGUAGCCGGUCUAGUAACCCCCUGGAUAAAUCGUACAGCUUAACUGUACGGCUCCCGGGGAGACUGCUAGACUUGGGACUGGGAGAGGUCGGAGGUACUCCAGGGGUAGGGGUGAAAUCUUGUAAUCCUUGGGGGACCACCAGUGGCGAAGGCGUCCGACUAGAACGGGUCCGACGGUAAGGGACGAAGCCCUGGGGCGCGAACCGGAUUAGAUACCCGAGUAGUCC